rnacentral:tRNA from 1 species
GGGGGUAGCUCAGUGGUAGAGUGCCUGCCUAGCAUGCAGAAUAUCCUGGGUUCAAUCCCAAGUACCUCCA